rnacentral:rRNA from 1 species
AAUAUUGGACAAUGGGCGCAAGCCUGAUCCAGCAAUGCCGCGUGUGUGAAGAAGGCCUGAGGGUUGUAAAGCACUUUCAGCGGGGAGGAAGGGAUGUUGUCGAAUAGGCAACAUUUUUGACGUUACCCGCAGAAGAAGCACCGGCUAACUCUGUGCCAGCAGCCGCGGUAAUACAGAGGGUGCAAGCGUUAAUCGGAGUGACUGGGCGUAAAGGGCGUGUAGGUGGAUAGAUAAGUUAUGUGUGAAAUAUCUGGGCUUAACCUAGAGGGGUCAUGUGAUACUGUCUAUCUCGAGUAGAGCAGAGGGAAGUAGAAUUUCCGGUGUAGCGGUGAAAUGCGUAGGGAUCGGAAGGAAUACCAGUGGCGAAGGCGGCUUCCUGGGCCCAUACUGACACUGAGGCGCGAAAGCGUGGGUAGCGAACAGGAUUAGAUACCCUGGUAGUCCACGCUGUA